CUACUUGGGAACACGAAGAUGCGUUGAAGAAGGAGUUUCCCCAUCUCUUCAGAACUCAGCCGAAUCUCGAGGACGAGAUUCAAUUUAAAUGGGGUAGGUUUGUAACAUCCGUAAAAAUCACCAACUUAAAUCAUCCACUAAAAAUUGUUUUCAAAAUCUUUUUACCGUUGAGCUCCCAAAAAUCUAAUCUUCCCGGCAAUUUCGCCAUCCCGGCACCCAAGGCCGAGAACCAU
rnacentral:lncRNA from 1 species